GCGAGCGGCGGACGGGUGAGUAACACGUGGGUAACCUGCCCAAGAGACUGGGAUAACACCUGGAAACAGAUGCUAAUACCGGAUAACAACACUAGACGCAUGUCUAGAGUUUGAAAGAUGGUUCUGCUAUCACUCUUGGAUGGACCUGCGGUGCAUUAGCUAGUUGGUAAGGUAACGGCUUACCAAGGCAAUGAUGCAUAGCCGAGUUGAGAGACUGAUCGGCCACAUUGGGACUGAGACACGGACCAGACUCCUACGGGAGGCAGCAGUGAGGAAUAUUGGUCAAUGGCCGGAAGGCUGAACCAGCCAAGUCGCGUGAGGGAAGACGGCCCUAUGGGUUGUAAACCUCUUUUGUCGGGGAGCAAAGGCCGCCACGCGUGGCGGAUUGAGAGUACCCGAAGAAAAAGCAUCGGCUAACUCCGUGCCAGCAGCCGCGGUAAUACGGAGGAUGCGAGCGUUAUCCGGAUUUAUUGGGUUUAAAGGGUGCGCAGGCGGGAUGUCAAGUCAGCGGUCAAAUCGAGGGGCUCAACCCCUUUCCGCCGUUGAAACUGGCGUCCUAGAGUGGGCGAGAAGUACGCGGAAUGUGUGGUGUAGCGGUGAAAUGCAUAGAUAUCACGCAGAACUCCGAUUGCGAAGGCAGCGUACCGGCGCCCAACUGACGCUCAUGCACGAAAGCGUGGGUAUCGAACAGGAUUAGAUACCCUGGUAGUCCACGCAGUAAACGAUGAAUACUAACUGUCCGGCCCGAUCGGGGGCUGGGCGGUACAGCGAAAGCGUUAAGUAUUCCACCUGGGGAGUACGCCGGCAACGGUGAAACUCAAAGGAAUUGACGGGGGCCCGCACAAGCGGAGGAACAUGUGGUUUAAUUCGAUGAUACGCGAGGAACCUUACCCGGGCUCAAACGACGGAUGAAUGUUUUUGAAAGGAGGCAGCCCUUCGGGGCAUCCGUCGAGGUGCUGCAUGGUUGUCGUCAGCUCGUGCCGUGAGGUGUCGGCUUAAGUGCCAUAACGAGCGCAACCCCCAUCGCCAGUUACCAGCAAGUGAAGUUGGGGACUCUGGCGAGACUGCCGGCGCAAGCUGUGAGGAAGGCGGGGAUGACGUCAAAUCAGCACGGCCCUUACGUCCGGGGCGACACACGUGUUACAAUGGCAGGUACAGAGAGAUGCCACCUGGCGACAGGGAGCAGAACUCGAAAGCCUGUCUCAGUUCGGAUCGGAGUCUGCAACCCGACUCCGUGAAGCUGGAUUCGCUAGUAAUCGCGCAUCAGCCAUGGCGCGGUGAAUACGUCCCGGGCCUUGCACACACCGCCCGUCAAG
rnacentral:rRNA from 1 species